rnacentral:lncRNA from 1 species
AAAGAACAGUGGAGUGAUUGGGUGUGUGUGGGUUUCUGACGGAAAAGUGAGAGUGAUCAUGAAGGAAUCAGAUCAGAGCAGACCAGAUCGUGGUAGAAAGCAGAUGUGAUUUUGAAGAAUUGUCUUGUGUGUGUCACUGCAUGAACCUGAGCCAACAGGCAUAGCAAAGCUAUAGCAGGCAGUUUAUGUUGAAUAGUUGAGAGCCUAUUUGAGGCAGUAAUAUUUGGGCUUGAAUUUCAAGGCCCCAGUGAGCAGUUUUGUGCUCAGUUAAACACACCAAGGAGAUCUGGGAUUUCAAGAAACCACACAACCAUGGCUGUCUGGUGAAGGACAAGGGACGAGCUGUAGCCAUUAGCUGGGCAUCGAACUGGUGCGGCUGUAGGACACCCAACCCAGGAGGCGGUGUAUCCAACGAUCAACCGGCAUCAGACGAUUCAAGACAGUACCGUGGGCUGAUAUCCUUAAAACGCCUGCUCCUCCCAUUUAAAGACCCUUGUAUAGAGUAAAAUAAUUUAAAGUAACUGCAGAGUGGAAGUUUGUUUAAAGAUUAAUUGCUAUUCAUUUAAAAGGAAACACGAAGGACAUAAUAUGAUCUAGAAUGUGAAUUAAUGUAACAAGUGAAGAAAUACCGGCCUACCACAGUUGUAAAUAAGUGUUAAUUGUUUGUAAAUAGAACAGAUAUACUGAAGGAAAA